GUGGGGAAUUUUGGACAAUGGGGGCAACCCUGAUCCAGCCAUCCCGCGUGUGCGAUGAAGGCCUUCGGGUUGUAAAGCACUUUUGGCAGGAAAGAAAUCGCACGGGAUAAUACCUCGUGUGGAUGACGGUACCUGCAGAAUAAGCACCGGCUAACUACGUGCCAGCAGCCGCGGUAAUACGUAGGGUGCAAGCGUUAAUCGGAAUUACUGGGCGUAAAGCGUGCGCAGGCGGUUCGGAAAGAAAGAUGUGAAAUCCCAGGGCUUAACCUUGGAACUGCAUUUUUAACUACCGGGCUAGAGUGUGUCAGAGGGGGGUGGAAUUCCGCGUGUAGCAGUGAAAUGCGUAGAUAUGCGGAGGAACACCGAUGGCGAAGGCAGCCCCCUGGGAUAACACUGACGCUCAUGCACGAAAGCGUGGGGAGCAAACAGGAUUAGAUACCCUUGUAGGUCC
rnacentral:rRNA from 1 species